rnacentral:rRNA from 1 species
GACGUAGGGCGCGAGCGUUGUCCGGAUUUAUUGGGCGUAAAGAGCUUGUAGGCGGUUUGUCGCGUCUGCUGUGAAAUUUCGGGGCUCAACCCCGAACUUGCAGUGGGUACGGGCAGACUAGAGUGUGGUAGGGGAGACUGGAAUUCCUGGUGUAGCGGUGAAAUGCGCAGAUAUCAGGAGGAACACCGAUGGCGAAGGCAGGUCUCUGGGCCAUAACUGACGCUGAGAAGCGAAAGCAUGGGGAGCGAGCAGG